rnacentral:hammerhead_ribozyme from 1 species
AUCCAGCUGACCCGUCCCAAAAUAGGACGAAACGCACGUCAAAUUGGAU